AAUUCGAUGAUACGCGAGGAACCUUACCUGGGCUCAAAUGUAUGUUGACGUAUUCUGAAAGGGAUACUUCUUCGGACAAUAUACAAGGUGCUGCAUGGUUGUCGUCAGCUCGUGCCGUGAGGUGUCGGGUUAAGUCCCAUAACGAGCGCAACCCCUAUCAUUAGUUGCCAUCAGGUCAAGCUGGGGACUCUAAUGAAACUGCCUACGCAAGUAGUGAGGAAGGUGGGGAUGACGUCAAAUCAGCACGGCCCUUACGUCCAGGGCUACACACGUGCUACAAUGGCCGGUACAAAGGGCAGCUACCUGGUGACAGGAUGCUAAUCUCAAAAGCCGGUCUCAGUUCGGAUCGGAGUCUGCAACCCGACUCCGUGAAGCUGGAAUCGCUAAUAAUCGCGCAUCAGCCAUGGCGCGGUGAAUACGUUCCCGGGCCUU
rnacentral:rRNA from 1 species